rnacentral:rRNA from 1 species
CAGUCGCCGCGGUAAUACGGAGGGUGCAAGCGUUAUCCGGAUUUAUUGGGUUUAAAGGGUCCGUAGGCGGAUCUGUAAGUCAGUGGUGAAAUCUCACAGCUUAACUGUGAAACUGCCAUUGAUACUGCAGGUCUUGAGUAAAUUUGAAGUGGCUGGAAUAAGUAGUGUAGCGGUGAAAUGCAUAGAUAUUACUUAGAACACCAAUUGCGAAGGCAGGUCACUAAGAUUUAACUGACGCUGAUGGACGAAAGCGUGGGGAGCGAACAGGAUUAGAUACCCCAGUAGUCCCUGUCUCUUAUCA